UGACCCUCAAACCCCCACACUAGCUCAACUUCAGGCACGUGCUCUUGCCUCUCAACCACAACCUGAACUAGAAUCUGACACUCCACCGCCUGGCGACUCUGAACAACCACAAACACCAUCAUCUGAACAACCACAAAAUCCACCACCUGAACAACCAACACCACCACCCUCUACUACCCCCACCAUACCACCCUCUGAAGACAUCACCUUCCUUACCCCUAAGACUCCCAUUAACACCACCCAAACACCACCAUCAUCCCAAACUCUG
rnacentral:lncRNA from 1 species